CCGCAGAGCUUUACAAUUUUCUACCUAAGUACCUAAUUUUUGCUUUUUCUUCUGCCUCCUUUUCCUUUUUGUUGCCAUGGCUCCCGAGGUGACUCCUCCACCUCCCGCAUGGCGGCCAACAACUGCUCAAUGCUAAAAGUGUGUUUCCGUUGUCUUACAAGAAUAUUUCUGCACGGUCAGUUUCGCCACUGGCAAAUAGAACCUUGCUUGGGUAUAUCACUGAAUUUUUUGGGGGGGGGCGCCAGUUUGCUCAUUAAUACUUCAGUUUUCACUCUUUCACUUUACAUUGUGAUCAAACCUCCUUCCAAUCUUUCGUCCUGACAUUCCAUAUUUUUAGGCUCAACACGAGUGUAACACUAUGGUAUGUAGUAAUUUGACUGGUCAUGGCUUCGUCGGAAUCCAUCUACCUCUCUCUCUCUCUUUGCAAUCCUGAUAUAAAAAUACCUUAACCCCAUUGCCUGAUAAAAUACUAGCAAAUUUAAAAAUAAAAAAUGUUAAUUAAAUGAUCUUUAAUAUUAUAACUGAAAUAAAAAUAUUUGGAAUAAUAAAAUAAGAUGUAGGCCUGAUAACGUAACACAUGCAUGCAUUAGUUUAAAGUACAAUUAUGUAGCAAAUUAUAAAAGUAUGUAUUAUAUAAGUAUAUAUAUAUGUUAGAAUGCAAUGAAAUUUGGCUACCUAAAACAUCCUGACUGCAUGUAGAUAGGACUGCAUGUAGAUAGGGCUGCCUAGAGAGGUG